UACAGAGGCCUCGAGCGUUGUUCAGAAUUACUGGGCGUAAAGGGAAUGUAGGUGGUGACGUAAGACAGGUGUGAAAUCCCCGGGCUUAACCUGGGAACUGCAUUUGUGACUGCAUCGCUGGAGUGCGGCAGAGGGGGAUGGAAUUCCGCGUGUAGCAGUGAAAUGCGUAGAUAUGCGGAGGAACACCGAUGGCGAAGGCAAUCCCCUGGGCCUGCACUGACGCUCAUGCACGAAAGCGUGGGGAGCAAACAGG
rnacentral:rRNA from 1 species